rnacentral:rRNA from 1 species
UGAGGAAUAUUGGUCAAUGGGCGGAAGCCUGAACCAGCCAUGCCGCGUGCAGGAAGGAGGCCCUGCGGGUUGUAAACUGCUUUUACCCGGGAAGAAACCGCCCCCUGUGGGGGGCGUUGCCGGUACCGGGGGAAAAAGGAUCGGCUGACUCCGUGCCAGCAGCCGCGGUAAUACGGAGGAUCCGGGCGUUAUCCGGAAUUACUGGGUUUAAAGGGUGCGUAGGCGGGGCUUUAAGCCGGCGGUGAAAUGCAGCGGCUCAACCGCUGGAAUGCCGUUGGGACUGGGGCUCUUGGAUACGGUCGGGGCGGGUGGAACUCGUGGUGUAGCGGUGAAAUGCAUAGAUAUCACGAGGAAUGCCGGUAGCGAAGGCAGCUCGCCGGGCCGGUAUUGACGCUGAGGCACGAAAGCGUGGGGAUCGAACAG